rnacentral:rRNA from 1 species
UGAGGAAUAUUGGUCAAUGGGCGAGAGCCUGAACCAGCCAAGUAGCGUGCAGGAUGACGGCUCUAUGGGUUGUAAACUGCUUUUAUGUGGGGAUAAAGUGCGUGACGUGUCAUGCAUUGCAGGUACCACAUGAAUAAGGACCGGCUAAUUCCGUGCCAGCAGCCGCGGUAAUACGGAAGGUUCGGGCGUUAUCCGGAUUUAUUGGGUUUAAAGGGAGCGUAGGCCGUUUGGUAAGCGUGUUGUGAAAUGUAGGAGCUCAACUUCUAGAUUGCAGCGCGAACUGUCAGACUUGAGUGCGCACAACGUAGGCGGAAUUCAUGGUGUAGCGGUGAAAUGCUUAGAUAUCAUGAAGAACUCCGAUUGCGAAGGCAGCUUACGGGAGCGCAACUGACGCUGAAGCUCGAAGGUGCGGGUAUCGAACAGG